CCAGGAUUAGGGGCUGGGAGGCUCCACUUUUCCCAGUGUUUUUUUGUGGUUUUUUUUUUUUAGGCCUUGUUCUGUUCCCUUUCCCCGUUGUCAGUAUUAAGCACAGGGGCUGUAGGACGCAGGUGGAGCAGGAGGGUCUGUUGCUACCACCCCUACACCUGUUAGUUGUGUGUGAGUAGGCUCAGCAUGUCCUCCGGUGUAUCCAUGGUGAACUGUGACGGUUUCCAGGUGACAAUCCACCACUACUCUGCUGUAUUCCCCCCCCCUCCUCUUCCAUCACUCUCUUACUCAGAAAAACUUAUUAAUGAAAUGGCCUUAGCAGGAAUAUCAUGUUUUGUGUGACUCUGUACAUGAAUAAAGUGAAAAUCAUGGAUGUAAGGA